UAGGGAAUCUUCCACAAUGGGCGCAAGCCUGAUGAAGCAACACCGCGUGAGUGAAGAAGGGUUUCGGCUCGUAAAGCUCUGUUGUUAAAGAAGAACACGUAUGAGAGUAACUGUUCAUACGUUGACGGUAUUUAACCAGAAAGCCACGGCUAACUACGUACCAG
rnacentral:rRNA from 1 species